UACGUAGGGUCCGAGCGUUGUCCGGAAUUACUGGGCGUAAAGAGCUCGUAGGUGGUUUGUCGCGUUGUUCGUGAAAUCUCACGGCUUAACUGUGAGCGUGCGGGCGAUACGGGCAGACUUGAGUACUGCAGGGGAGACUGGAAUUCCUGGUGUAGCGGUGGAAUGCGCAGAUAUCAGGAGGAACACCGGUGGCGAAGGCGGGUCUCUGGGCCGAUACUGACGCUGAGGAGCGAAAGCGUGGGGAGCGAACAGG
rnacentral:rRNA from 1 species